rnacentral:rRNA from 1 species
AUUGAACGCUGGCGGCAGGCCUAACACAUGCAAGUCGAGCGGAUGAGGAGAGCUUGCUCUCUGAUUUAGCGGCGGACGGGUGAGUAAUGCCUAGGAAUCUGCCUGGUAGUGGGGGAUAACGUCCGGAAACGGGCGCUAAUACCGCAUACGUCCUACGGGAGAAAGCAGGGGACCUUCGGGCCUUGCGCUAUCAGAUGAGCCUAGGUCGGAUUAGCUAGUUGGUGAGGUAAUGGCUCACUAAGGCUACGAUCCGUAACUGGUCUGAGAGGAUGAUCAGUCACACUGGAACUGAGACACGGUCCAGACUCCUACGGGAGGCAGCAGUGGGGAAUAUUGGACAAUGGGCGAAAGCCUGAUCCAGCCAUGCCGCGUGUGUGAAGAAGGUCUUCGGAUUGUAAAGCACUUUAAGUUGGGAGGAAGGGCAGUAAGUUAAUACCUUGCUGUUUUGACGUUACCGACAGAAUAAGCACCGGCUAACUUCGUGCCAGCAGCCGCCGUAACAC